UGCAAUUCAUCAUCCAAUGAAACAGAACAAAUACAAUAAAGAUUGUGCAAAUGAAGUAAUCUGUUCACUUGUUUUCGUUGUGCUCUGAGAAACGGGGUGUGUGGUUCCGGUGGUCGUUGGCGGCUUUAUGGUUGGCGGAGUGGUGGUUGACGGCAGUGGGGUCGUCGGAUCUCUGCGCUAUUUGCGCUGCUCGAAGUUCCCGCAACUGAUUUCAAACUGGAUUCCACUGAAUCUAGCCUUGUUCCCAUCCUCAGCAAUCGUACUCUCUCUAAGGACUUGAGAAGAAAACAGGAGGAUGUCACUGAUGCCAAACCAUUUUCGUAAAGUGGGAACAAGGGUUUUGCCAUCUUCAUCACCCUUUUUUACGCUGCGGCCUGAGAGGCGUAUGUCUAAUUCAAGAGGGUCUGAGUAGAACUCGAAUUUUCAGGACAAAGAUAAAGAGGUCAACAUGCAGGUUCUGCUAAGAUGGCAUUGAGUGAUGAUGAACAGAGGGCGAAUGUGCCUAAGGUUAUCACUCGCAAUGAAAAUAAACGACAAGUCACUAUUUUGAAGGCCUGGCUAACAAGCAAUUGUUUUUCCCAAAAAUUUGAGCAAGCAUAUCUAGCAACUCUGGGUCUUUUAGAGAUCAAAGAAUUUAGUGUUGUAACCAAGAAUUAGGAUUUUCUAUUGGGCUUAUCUUGAGAUUUCUUCAAAUCUUCGAUUUUCAUCGAAAUUCUAAUUCGGGAAUAGCCCAUAUUGCUUUAGCGCUAUAAAUUUCAGAAGCAUGAAAAAUUUUGGCAGUUCUAUAUGAACCAGCACUUAAAACCAGCCACAAGAUGUUGGCAUUUUGUUGGCACUUUGUGUAGUAUUCUGUGCUUGGUAUACUCAAUGUUCUUCAACUGGCGGUGCCUAAUUUUCGUGCCCUUAUUUGGGUAUUGUUUGCCGUGGUAUAGCCAUUUCUUUGUUGAAAAGAAUGUUCUAGCAACUUUUGGGCAUCCCUUCUCGUCUCUACUAUGUGAUUGGAAGAUGUUUGGCCUAAUGCUUGGUCAAAUGGAUAGAGAAAUCAAGAGGCUUGGUAAGGGGCCUAUCUUGCAAACCUACGGAUUUUCUGAUUUUAGUUUGUUUAGAAGACGUAGUUUUAAUAGCAAGUGAAUCUUUUUCAAUUUUGUUUGAACUUUCUAUAUUGCCUUUUCUGUUCCUUUUUUUAUGGUCUUCACCAUUACUGCAAUCACACCACCACCAACACCAUCAUCACUAACACAACAACGCACCAGAGACAUAUCUGUGCACACCACCACACACAUGUACACACUAUCACAUAAAGAUCCGCAUCACAUAUUUAGCCUUCAAUCGUCACCAAAGCCUUUGAACUCAUCCAUCACCAUCGAUAAAAAAAAAUCCCCAACACCUACUCACCUUUGAUUGGAGGCUCAGCCCCUCAUGUAGGCCCACAUCCUAAAAUCAGCAAGGACUAUUUACAAGUUCGUAUUUUUUCAAGGGGUCUGAUGUUGUAAAGAUAUUAGAUACACUUGCUCAGUUUUAUCCAGAUGUCAUACUACCUAAUAUCAGACAAACUUUAACUGUUUAAAUAUUUUUCAUGUAAGGUGCAAUAAAGAGCUUUUGAUAGUAGUGUUAAAAAGGAUUUUCCUG